rnacentral:rRNA from 1 species
UUGCAAAAGAAGUAGGUAGCUUAACCUCCGGGAGGGCGCUUACCACUUUGUGAUUCAUGACUGGGGUGAAGUCGUAACAAGGUAACCGUAGGGGAACCUGCGGUUGGAUCACCUCCUUACCU